UACAGAGGUCCCAAGCGUUGUUCGGAUUCACUGGGCGUAAAGGGUGCGUAGGUGGUGAGGUAAGUCGGAUGUGAAAGCUCGGAGCUCAACUCCGAAAUGGCAUUGGAAACUACCUUGCUAGAGGAUUGGAGGGGAGACUGGAAUGCUUGGUGUAGCAGUGAAAUGCGUAGAUAUCAAGCGGAACACCAGUGGCGAAGGCGAGUCUCUGGACAAUUCCUGACACUGAGGCACGAAAGCCAGGGGAGCAAACAGG
rnacentral:rRNA from 1 species